rnacentral:rRNA from 1 species
UACGUAGGUGGCAAGCGUUGUCCGGAAUUAUUGGGCGUAAAGAGCUCGUAGGCGGUUUGUCGCGUCUGCUGUGAAAACCCGAGGCUCAACCUCGGGCCUGCAGUGGGUACGGGCAGACUAGAGGUAUGCAGGGGAGAACGGAAUCCCUGGUGUAGCGGUGAAAUGCGCAGAUAUCAGGAGGAACACCGGUGGCGAAGGCGGUUCUCUGGGCAUUACCUGACGCUGAGGAGCGAAAGCGUGGGGAGCGAACAGG